GACAGAGGAUGCAAGCGUUAUCCGGAAUUAUUGGGCGUAAAGCGUCUGUAGGUGGCUUUUCAAGUCCGCCGUCAAAUCCCAGGGCUCAACUCUGGACAGGCGGUGGAAACUACCAAGCUGGAGUACGGUAGGGGCAGAGGGAAUUUCCGGUGGAGCGGUGAAAUGCGUAGAGAUCGUAAGGAAGGCCAGUGGCGAAGGCGAGUUCCUGGACAGUUACUGACGCUGAGGCACGAAGGCCAGGGGAGCAAACGGG
rnacentral:rRNA from 1 species